UUAGCUUAUGAAAUUCAUUGUUAACUAAACUUGUAAAGUAGCUGAUUGCCUGAAUGUACUGUAGUAGUAGAUAGUAACGUUAUCUGACCACGAUAGUUGCUAGCAAUGCAAACCAUGUUAAGUGAUUGUUAGAUAUUUACACCACCACCUGUUUCCAGUUUGCCGGUUCCUUCUUCAUCACUCUUCUAUAAAUCUUCAAGUGAAGCCAAGGCUCUCCCUUCAACAGCAUGGUGUUUUUUUACUGCUGAGCGCUUUGGGAGAUGGAGAUCCGGAUACGGUGGCGGUGGUGGUGAUGACAGGGAAGUUAGGGUGAGCCUGAUCUAGCCGUUUGCAGCAACGAGAGCAGUUCAAGCAAGACAAGGCCAUGGCCUCCAAUGAGGUCAGUUCUCUUUUUCUUCCUCAUCAAAAGUUGCAUGUCUGCCAUUAUUUGAAAAACGAUUCCUGAUAAUACGUGUAUAUCCGAGACUUGUGAGCAUUCCACAAGGAUUUGUAUCCUCACGAUACAGUAUAUAUGACAAUCAUGGAUCUUCUGAAAAUCGUUCGCUUUUUGUGUGGAAAGAGAAUGUGCAUUUCGAAGCAAUUGUUUGGAAUUCAUCAAUCUAGAAUUCAGUUGCAGAAAAAUGUCUAACACGUUCAGUAUAUAUGACAAUGAAGAAUUUCCUGCCGAUUUAGUUGCAGAAAAAUAGUUUUUUUUACUGCUGAGCAUGUGGUCGGCGAGGUGGGGAUUGGCCGGUGCGCCAUCAAGCCCUCCAGGGGGACGACGCCAAUGCACUAGCACCGAUGGUCUCCCUUCCGAUGCCAUCAAGUUUCCCUGCCUCCGCCACCGAUUCUCACUGCCUCCGCCGCCACCCGAAGCUGGAUCUGGACCUUCUCCUCAACUCAGGUAAACAAGCCAUAUAUUUCCAAUGGAUGAGAUCUCAGAUGAUUUGAUCGUUGAUUGGUGCUUCAAGGGUUGCAAUAUAUAGCUGCUGACUGCUGCAGCCUGCAGGGUCUCACACGCUCUGGCCCCUGAUGCAUAUUGAUGCAACGCAAAAAAUAUAAGUGUCAGACAGAGAGCUAGGCAACAGAUGAAUGAUUAGACGUGAUUUUCAAAUAAUGGUGUAUUAAUAAUAUUAUAUAAGAGAAGAACGUUGUCAAUUUCGUAGGUAGGUGGUAAACGAGAGAUGCUAUCCUUCUUAAUCUCUGUCAUCAAAAGUUUACUGUUCAGAACCUCCUAAUGGUUUUACUACUAUGCAGGUAAAAGUGCAAAAAGCAAUGAAUGGUGCGCAAGUGCAUAUAAGUUUACUUAUCACUGGGUAUAAUUUCUUCAUCUAAUUUACUAAGCAGACCUGUCACCCAUGAACUAUUUAUAGGAAAGAGAAACAACAGUUGAUGGAGCUGGUAUGCUCAUACCUCAUGGUAACAUAUAGUGUUGACGAUUAUCUUAUUUAUCCGCAUACUUGCUUUCUUGCCACCGUAUGCAUUAUCUGAAUCCUAAGCUAAUCUACGAGAGUGCGUUACUUGCUGUCUACUAUGAUUGGUGUGCACCUCAUAAAACAAGUAGUGCUGUCAUUUUUGUGCAAUGAGUAGUGGUAUACCAAUCCGGUGAGCAGAGAUUAUGAAUCAUUUUUUUGUUGAUUUUCCUCUUUUGUGUGAUAGCAGCAGAAAAGAAUGUUACUCUGUAUUGAGAUCUAUGUCCAUGGGGUGAAUAAUUGGAUUUGAGUGGAAAGUGAGUAGCAACUUUCAGGCAUUGUGAACUCUCAUUUCAGAUGGCACGGUGAGGAACUUCCAUGUCAAGGCUCGAGGUCUUCCGCAACAACCUGGACGAAGAGGGUGGCGUCGCCGGCUGAGACUACAUAUUUUUCGUUGCCGCCCCGGUGACCCUCAUGACAGAGGAUCCCGAGGAAAAAAAGAAAUCAGUUACUUCGCGUUCUUCAGCCUGUGCAGCACACACAUUUUUCCAAGAAGGCCUGAUCGAGCCGGCGGUGCAUGCUCGCAGAGAAUGCGGCAGUGCGAGGUCAGGUAGGAGAACAGCAUUAGCUUCAUUAUCGUGUGCCCCGUCGUCAUGGUUGGCGUGACGCCUGCGACGAAGGUCCAGACCAGCGUCCCGCUCAUUCGCUCCUUGCUAUCUGGCGAGACUUUUCACGUGAAUAAAAGCAUCUAAAUUCUUUUCCCAUCGUGUUCUUCUGUAUCUCUUCUUGUGAUGUCUUGUCAAGUUUGAUGGUUUCAGGCAACCUGGCGAUGGUCCAGACGCUGAAACCUUGGCUUCCAUCACGCUGGUCCAGAUCAGCGAUCUGUGCCGCCAAGUUGAUCGAGUCCUCAUCCGGCAGGCCAACAGGCAUGAUGCAACAACGGCAAUUAGCAAAUAUUUUGGGACAUGCGCACAUACAUGACGUGCCCAUGUUCUUGUUCUUUCUCCAUUUCUCCAUGACCCGCAUUCUCUAUUGACGCAAGCACUACUCAUAGCCAUCUAUUGCAAAACUGAUGCAUUUUUCUGCUGUUUCAAUUGCAGGUUUGCAGGAUAUUUACGAUUUUGGCAUCGCUCAUGUGUUACUAACUUACUAUAAGUUCACCGCCGCUAGAAAAUCCACCCGAUGCAGGUCUUUCAAGCAUUUAAUGGCCAGCCCAUCUUCUAGCAUGAGUACAUAUUACUGUAUUAGAACAAUUAUGAAGCAGAACCAAUUGAUGCAUGGACCUACAGAAAAUAGAAGUAUCCACUUAUAGUAUAUACCAACUAUUAAAGUUGCGUGUGUUAUUACAAUGAACUUUAGAUAAUUACUAUCGAAAGUGGACAAUUUUCUGAAUAUGUAUUUCAAACAAACAAAAUAGUUAUGAGUAGGAAAGAAAUAUUCAUUGAUGUUACUUUUUAUGGUUAUAGGUUUACUUAUUGUUCAUAGUUUAGCUCCUUUCCUCCAUUGAUCCAUACUAGAAUUGUCCAGAGUUUCCUUUUCGUCAGUAAAAAUGUGAAUGAUGAAAGUUAUUUAGUGUAGAGAUGAAUCUACCAACUUCAGGAAAAUAGCUAUAAUAAUUCUAAAGCAGCAUUCUUGUGUAAGUUCUCAAACAAAACUAAACUCAUGAUACAUGUAUUUCUGAAGGGAGGAAUAAGGUUAUCUAUACUAUAUCAAAUGGCUAGAGGUGGUGUUCUAUGGUUUGUACUGUUUGGAAGUACAAUAUAAUCUCAAGAUCUCACCUUUUUAUUAUUCUUUCUCCAUGUGUAGAGAGUAUAUGGAUCUUCUCCAAGGUGAGUAGCAAACAUGUUUUCUCGCUUCUUGAUUCGAACCCUUGCCCCAAUUGUAACAAAGCAAAAGUCUGGUCUAAUGGCUCAUCUGAAUCUUCCUGUUGGUCUGAACUGACAUAGCAUUUUGAUUGACUAAAGAUGAAAAUCAAGUUUUGAUGCAAAGCUAUUUCAUGUACUGCAAAGCUUUCGCAUCAUUAUACAAAGCCUGUAGGAAUCAGCAGCCUUCCAAGAGCCCCCAGGACCACCGUUGCAUUGUAAUCGACCACGUCUAAGCUUCUGCACUGCCAACUUCCGUGCCAAUGACAUGUUUGUGCUCUCCGGGAUAUACAUCAUAAUGUUUGAAGGCGGUAAGUAACAUGCUCUCUUCUUUCACUUUGAUAUCUGAGCUACUCGACCACACUAUUGAUUGAUUGUGUCCCCAGCUUCCUCCAGCAAUGAUAAAUGGAUCUUGGUCAUCAGCAAUUGACUUUGCACAUACGGCCAAAGUGUAUUUUCUCUAAGCAAUUGGUUUUUUGAUGCAAUUAAUUCUAUGGGUUGUCAUGUAGAUGGUGGCCUCUGUGGUUUGCAGGUUUAGGUCGUGUGAAUGUGUCAUGCAUAUCCGAGAAAAUGUAUAGCUUUUAAAGAACCACCUCACUGUAUGUAACAUUAUUAUGGAUAUUUAGAUUAUCAUGUGUUUAUAGAACAGAUUAACCUAAUCUAUUAUGUACAAAUGUUAUAACGUGUUUAAUAUCAACAAUAAUUUGUCAGUAUACAUGACACAUAUUUGUUGUGUUGCACGAUAUUUGUAGCGCUGAAAUAAUUAUGGUUCUUUUAGUUCCAAAGAGAAGAGCACUUGAGCUAAUUUGGAUAUGUAGCAGUGGAGGUGUGGGGCAUGCAAGCAAAAAUAAGACGAACAUCACACUCUAUGUUACCCAUUCAAAUUCAUAUGCAAUCUCCCAAGGUUAGAUUUUCUUAAACCUACAUAAAACGAUGUGUGUAGAAUUUUUUGUUUAACACGGUACUAAUAAGAUUGGAUCUCUUCAGGUCUAACACGGUACCAAAUGUUGUUAUGUACUCGCCAAAAAAAUAUGAAGGCAUGUAACAUUCUAAUCGGUAGCCAAUUUGAAGGGGAUAAAGUGACCAAAGCUACUCUUUAUUUUGAACACAUGUUGCUUAGUGAGUGAUUUCCUCGAGUAGGGGCUUACUGAUUGAAAUAUGAUAUAUAGAUGUCUGCAGAUCAUCCUUGGCGACUGGUCAAAAGCUUCGCUGGAGCAAUUUCUUGUCCAUGAAUAUAAAGGCUUUGUGGGAUUUUGAACUUCGUCAAUUUAAGGCUCUUCUUCUAUAUAAAGUUGCACUUAUUCUUCUCUGGAUGUAUGUGGUUUAGCUGGUGAAUUUGUAGUUCAUUUUGAGUUGUUUUAGUCUGUGCUUGGUGGUUAGGCUAAGAAGAAGUAGACAUGAUUGGUGCAAGUUCGUUCUGUUCUUCUUUAUUUCUUUUACCAGAGGGGAUUGAUAGUUUCAAAAAGACUUGUUCCUUUAUCUCUAAUAGUGGAACCCGGAGCACUUUGUUGCUUCGUAUGAAUUUUUUUUCCACAAAUAUAAUAUAUUGGGUUGUCAAUA